rnacentral:rRNA from 1 species
UACGUAGGGUGCGAGCGUUGUCCGGAAUUACUGGGCGUAAAGAGCUCGUAGGCGGUCUGUCGCGUCUGCUGUGAAAACUCGGGGCUUAACCCCGGGCCUGCAGUGGGUACGGGCAGACUAGAGUGCGGUAGGGGAGACUGGAAUUCCUGGUGUAGCGGUGAAAUGCGCAGAUAUCAGGAGGAACACCGGUGGCGAAGGCGGGUCUCUGGGCCGAUACUGACGCUGAGGCGCGAAAGCGUGGGUAGCAAACAGG